GGCAGGAUCAGAUUUCUGAAGGACAGUAAUUUGGUUCGGGGUCUUUGGGGCGGGAGCUGCUGAGCAGGGCACAAAGUAAAAUGACGCAAUAUGCCAUUUGAAGGAGAAACCCUUUUGUAAGAAGUGCUUUGUGCAGGUGAAUGGCUCCGAGGAAGAUAUGCCAAUACUCCCGACAGAGCCAGUUCAUUUGAGAUGAUCUUCGAAGGAAGUUUGAAAUGUGGCUAGUAUCCUUCAUGCAGAAUGUGGGUUCAGCAUUAAAUGCCUGGAAGAAAAUGAAUCUCAGGAUGGUGCAUAGACAUACGUAUUCAGGUAUGGUGACAGCUUCCUCUGUACUUCCACACUGGAGUUGCAAUCUGCACUUGAUGCCCAAGAAUCCUUGCUGGAAUUGGAGAAUGUCAGGACAUCAAACUGACUCUCAGCCGGUAAUGUUGUCUCUUUAUUCCCUCCGUAAAUGCUGCCUGACUUGUUGAGUUCCUCCAGUAUAUUGCACAUAUUGGUCAAGUUGACCUGUUGUCUCUGCUGCUUCCUGCAGUGAAGGAGACUGACAAGGCUCAACUGUGAACAGUUUGCAGUGGAGACCUGAGAAGUCCUGGGGUGAUGUCCACGUAUUCAGGUAACAAAGGGUUGGAAGACAAUUGGCAAGAAAGACUAGUUGAAGUUGAUGACCCUUGUGCCAAUAGUAUGGUUACAACCAAAAUAAGUAUUCAGGA